AUUGAACGCUGGCGGCAGGCCUAACACAUGCAAGUCGAGCGGAUGAAGGGAGCUUGCUCCUGGAUUCAGCGGCGGACGGGUGAGUAAUGCCUAGGAAUCUGCCUGGCAGUGGGGGAUAACGUCCGGAAACGGGCGCUAAUACCGCAUACGUCCUGAGGGAGAAAGUGGGGGAUCUUCGGACCUCACGCUAUCAGAUGAGCCUAGGUCGGAUUAGCUAGUUGGUGGGGUAAAGGCCUACCAAGUCGACGAUCCGUAACUGGUCUGAGAGGAGGAUCAGUCACACUGGAACUGGAACACGGUCCAGACUCCUACGGGAGGGAGCAGUGGGGAAUGUUGGACAGUGGGCGGAAGCCUGAUCCAGCCAUGGCGCGUGUGUGAAGAAGGUCUUCGGAUUGUAAAGCAGUUUAAGUUGGGAGGAAGGGCAGUAAGUUAAGACCUUGCUGUUUUGACGUUACCAGCAGAAUAAGCACCGGCUAACUUCGUG
rnacentral:rRNA from 1 species